rnacentral:lncRNA from 1 species
CCUUACUUGCAUGUCCGUGAGAGUGAGGCCUCCUUAAGUUGUGUCCUUGGGGGCAUCAGGUGCCUCACCCUAGCCCUGGCCCUGUGCUUGCAAUGGUAAGAAGAUAUUAAAUUCAACUUUUCUUGAGGCCUGGAGUUUCUGCAAAUAGGGUUGAAGACUUAGCAAGACCAUUUGGAAGCACACUUAUAUCACAUUCUACAAAUAGCUUUACCAGUAAUUAAGAUGAUAUUUUAAUCUCCAUCUUUCUACUCUUGGAUCUGCUUAUCAAUUGAGUCCAUACUCUAGAGAGG